AGUGAACGCUGGCGGUAGGCCUAACACAUGCAAGUCGAACGGCAGCACAGGAGAGCUUGCUCUCUGGGUGGCGAGUGGCGGACGGGUGAGGAAUACAUCGGAAUCUACUCUGUCGAGGGGGAUAACGUAGGGAAACUUACGCUAAUACCGCAUACGACCUACGGGUGAAAGCAGGGGACCUUCGGGCCUUGCGCGAUUGAAUGAGCCGAUGUCGGAUAAGCUCGUUGGCGGGGUAAAGGCCGACCAAGGCGACGAUCCGUAGCUGGUCUGAGAGGAUGAUCAGCCACACUGGAACUGAGACACGGUCCAGACUCCUACGGGAGGCAGCAGUGGGGAAUAUUGGACAAUGGGCGCAAGCCUGAUCCAGCCAUACCGCGUGGGUGAAGAAGGCCUUCGGGUUGUAAAGCCCUUUUGUUGGGAAAGAAAUCCAGCUGGCUAAUACCCGGUUGGGAUGACGGUACCCAAAGAAUAAGCACCGGCUAACUUCGUGCCAGCCGCCGCCGUAA
rnacentral:rRNA from 1 species